rnacentral:rRNA from 1 species
UACGGGGGGGGGCAAGCGUUGUUCGGAAUUACUGGGCGUAAAGGGCUCGUAGGUGGCCAACUAAGUCAGACGUGAAAUCCCUCGGCUUAACCGGGGAACUGCGUCUGAUACUGGAUGGCUUGAGAUUGGGAGAGGGAUGCGGAAUUCCAGGUGUAGCGGUGAAAUGCGUAGAUAUCUGGAGGAACACCGGUGGCGAAGGCGGUUCUCUGGGACGGUACUGACGCUGAGACGCGAAAGCGUGGGGAGCGAACAGG